AAAAAGGAAAAACUACAUAAAUCCCACUAGUUUAGGACCUAAUUACUAGAAUUCAAGAUAGUUUCAAUAAUUACAUCCUAUACCAUAUUUUGUCUGUCAGAUACAUGUAUCAUUACUCGCGAGAUACAUGUAUCCGACGGUUUGAAUUAAAGAGAUACAUAUUUUAAUAAUAUUGAAUAACCUAUUUCCUUAAAUAAAGGAGUAAUUUAGGCUUAAUUAAUAAUUCUAACUGAUUUGCAGAUUCAUUAACAUAUUAAUUCUAACAAAUCUUCCUAAAAUAACGAAAUCCUAAAACCACAAGAGUUCUCUAAUUGAAAACUUCAUCUUCUUGGCAACAAGUUUGAAAAUUGUGGACUACCAUGGGUGAUGAGAGCAAGCUUGAUCUUUUCUUAAUCUCAAAUGCUAGAAGAGACAUUCUUGAAUCUCAGAGUUAGGCUCAGUGCCUAUGAAAUUCGUUUUUGAAUUUCUGUGAUUGAAAGGAACAGGAGAGAAAAGCCUGGUGGACGAAGAU
rnacentral:lncRNA from 1 species